rnacentral:tRNA from 2 species
AGAAUGGUACUUUAAAAAAAAGGAUUGGCUUGCAUCUAAUUACUGAGCCUACAGCUCUCAUUCUU